rnacentral:rRNA from 1 species
UACGAAGGGGGCUAGCGUUGCUCGGAAUGACUGGGCGUAAAGGGCGCGUAGGCGGUCGAGCGCGUCAGAUGUGAAAGCCCCGGGCUCAACCUGGGAACCGCAUUUGAAACGGCUGGACUCGAGUUCGGGAGAGGAUGGUGGAAUUCCCAGUGUAGAGGUGAAAUUCGUAGAUAUUGGGAAGAACACCGAGGGCGAAGGCAGCCAUCUGGACCGACACUGACGCUGAGGCGCGAAAGCGUGGGGAGCAAACAGG